rnacentral:rRNA from 1 species
UGAUGGAAACGUCAGCUAAGACCGCAUAGGUGUAGAGAUCGCAUGAACUCUAUAUGAAAAGUGCUACGGGACUGGUAGAUGAUGGACUUAUGGCGCAUUAGCUGGUUGGUAGGGUAACGGCCUACCAAGGCGACGAUGCGUAGCCGACCUGAGAGGGUGACCGGCCACACUGGGACUGAGACACGGCCCAGACUCCUACGGGAGGCAGCAGUAGGGAAUUUUCGGCAAUGGGGGAAACCCUGACCGAGCAACGCCGCGUGAAGGAAGAAGUAAUUCGUUAUGUAAACUUCUGUCAUAGAGGAAGAACGGUGGAUAUAGGGAAUGAUAUCCAAGUGACGGUACUCUAUAAGAAAGCCACGGCUAACUACGUGCCAGCAGCCGCGGUAAUACGUAGGUGGCGAGCGUUAUCCGGAAUUAUUGGGCGUAAAGAGGGAGCAGGCGGCACUAAGGGUCUGUGGUGAAAGAUCGAAGCUUAACUUCGGUAAGCCAUGGAAACCGUAGAGCUAGAGUGUGUGAGAGGAUCGUGGAAUUCCAUGUGUAGCGGUGAAAUGCGUAGAUAUAUGGAGGAACACCAGUGGCGAAGGCGACGAUCUGGCGCAUAACUGACGCUCAGUCCCGAAAGCGUGGGGAGCAAAUAGGAUUAGAUACCCUAGUAGUCCACGCCGUAAACGAUGAGUACUAAGUGUUGGGAGUCAGAUCUCAGUGCUGCAGUUAACGCAAUAAGUACUCCGCCUGAGUAGUACGUUCGCAAGGAUGAAACUCAAAGGAAUUGACGGGGGCCCGCACAAGCCGUGGAGCAUGUGGUUUAAUUCGAAGCAACGCGAAGAACCUUACCAGGUCUUGACAUCGAUCUAAAGGCUCCAGAGAUGGAGAGAUAGCUAUAGAGAAGACAGGUGGUGCAUGGUUGUCGUCAGCUCGUGUCGUGAGAUGUUGGGUUAAGUCCCGCAACGAGCGCAACCCCUGUUGCCAGUUGCCAGCAUUAAGUUGGGGACUCUGGCGAGACUGCCGGUGACAAGCCGGAGGAAGGCGGGGAUGACGUCAAAUCAUCAUGCCCCUUAUGACCUGGGCUACACACGUGCUACAAUGGACAGAGCAGAGGGAAGCGAAGCCGCGAGGUGGAGCGAAACCCAUAAAACUGUUCUCAGUUCGGACUGCAGUCUGCAACUCGACUGCACGAAGAUGGAAUCGCUAGUAAUCGCGAAUCAGCAUGUCGCGGUGAAUACGUUCUUGGGCCUUGUACACACCGCCCGUCACACCAUGAGAGUCGGUAACACCCGAAGCCGGUGGCCUAACCGCAAGGAAGGAGCUGUCUAAGGUGGGACUGGUGAUUGGGGUGAAGUCGUAACAAGGUA